GAUGAACGCUGGCGGCGUGCCUAAUACAUGCAAGUAGAACGCUGAAGCUUGGUGCUUGCACCGAGCGGAUGAGUUGCGAACGGGUGAGUAACGCGUAGGUAACCUGCCUCUUAGCGGGGGAUAACUAUUGGAAACGAUAGCUAAUACCGCAUAAAAGUCGAUAUCGCAUGAUAUUGAUUUGAAAGGUGCAAACGCAUCACUAAGAGAUGGACCUGCGUUGUAUUAGCUAGUUGGUGAGGUAACGGCUCACCAAGGCGACGAUACAUAGCCGACCUGAGAGGGUGAUCGGCCACACUGGGACUGAGACACGGCCCAGACUCCUACGGGAGGCAGCAGUAGGGAAUCUUCGGCAAUGGGGGCAACCCUGACCGAGCAACGCCGCGUGAGUGAAGAAGGUUUUCGGAUCGUAAAGCUCUGUUGUAAGAGAAGAACGAGUGUGAGAGUGGAAAGUUCACACUGUGACGGUAACUUACCAGAAAGGGACGGCUAACUACGUG
rnacentral:rRNA from 1 species